rnacentral:tRNA from 1 species
CAUUUUAUAUUUUAAAGUAAAAUUUUAAAUUGCAAGUUUAAAGAUACCUGUUGGGGGUUAAUAUGU